GACGAACGCUGGCGGUGUGCUUCACACAUGCAAGUCGAACGAGGUAGCAAUACCUAGUGGCGGACGGGUGAGUAACGCGUGGGAAUCUGCCUUUAGAUGGGGGAUAACGGGUCGAAAGACUCGCUAAUACCGCAUAUGACGAAAGUUGAAAGGAGUAAUCCGUCUAAAGAUGAGCCCGCGUCCGAUUAGCUAGUUGGUAGAGUAAAAGCCUACCAAGGCGACGAUCGGUAGCUGGUCUGAGAGGAUGAUCAGCCACAAUGGGACUGAGACACGGCCCAUACUCCUACGGAGGCAGCAGUGGGAAUUUUACGCAAUGGGCGAAAGCCUGACGUAGCGACACCGCGUGAGCGAAGAAGCCCCUUGGGGUGUAAAGCUCUGUCAGCUGGAACGAAAAAAAUGACGGUACCAGCAGAGGAAGCAUCGGCUAACUACGUGCCAGCAGCCGCGGUAAU
rnacentral:rRNA from 1 species